AACGAACGCUGGCGGCAGGCUUAACACAUGCAAGUCGAACGCAUCGCAAGAUGAGUGGCAGACGGGUGAGUAACGCGUGGGAACAUACCCUUUUCUACGGAAUAGCUCUGGGAAACUGGAAUUAUUACCGUAUACGCCUUACGGGGGAAAGAUUUAUCGGGGAAGGAUUGGCCCGCGUUGGAUUAGCUAGUUGGUGGGGUAAAGGCCUACCAAGGCGACGAUCCAUAGCUGGUCUGAGAGGAUGAUCAGCCACAUUGGGACUGAGACACGGCCCAAACUCCUACGGGAGGCAGCAGUGGGGAAUAUUGGACAAUGGGCGCAAGCCUGAUCCAGCCAUGCCGCGUGAGUGAUGAAGGCCUUAGGGUUGUAAAGCUCUUUCACCGAUGAAGAUAAUGACGGUAGUCGGAGAAGAAGCCCCGGCUAACUUCGUGCCAGCCGCCGCAGUAACAC
rnacentral:rRNA from 1 species